rnacentral:rRNA from 1 species
AUGAACGCUAGCUACAGGCUUAACACAUGCAAGUCGAGGGGCAGCAUGAACUUAGCUUGCUAAGUUUGAUGGCGACCGGCGCACGGGUGAGUAACACGUAUCCAACCUUCCGUUUACUCAGGGAUAGCCUUUCGAAAGAAAGAUUAAUACCUGAUAGUAUGGUGAGAUUGCAUGAUAGCACCAUUAAAGAUUUAUUGGUAAACGAUGGGGAUGCGUUCCAUUAGGUAGUAGGCGGGGUAACGGCCCACCUAGCCGACGAUGGAUAGGGGUUCUGAGAGGAAGGUCCCCCACAUUGGAACUGAGACACGGUCCAAACUCCUACGGGAGGCAGCAGUGAGGAAUAUUGGUCAAUGGGCGAGAGCCUGAACCAGCCAAGUAGCGUGAAGGAUGAAGGUCCUACGGAUUGUAAACUUCUUUUAUACGGGAAUAAAGUUUCCUACGUGUAGGAUUUUGUAUGUACCGUAUGAAUAAGCAUCGGCUAACUCCGUGCCAGCAGCCGCGGUAAUACGGAGGAUGCGAGCGUUAUCCGGAUUUAUUGGGUUUAAAGGGAGCGCAGACGGGAGAUUAAGUCAGUUGUGAAAGUUUGCGGCUCAACCGUAAAAUUGCAGUUGAUACUGGUUUCCUUGAGUGCAGUUGAGGCAGGCGGAAUUCGUGGUGUAGCGGUGAAAUGCUUAGAUAUCACGAAGAACCCCGAUUGCGAAGGCAGCUUGCUAAACUGUAACUGACGUUCAUGCUCGAAAGUGUGGGUAUCAAACAGGAUUAGAUACCCUGGUAGUCCACACGGUAAACGAUGGAUACUCGCUGUUGGCGAUAUACUGUCAGCGGCCAAGCGAAAGCAUUAAGUAUCCCACCUGGGGAGUACGCCGGCAACGGUGAAACUCAAAGGAAUUGACGGGGGCCCGCACAAGCGGUGGAGCAUGUGGUUUAAUUCGAAGCAACGCGAAGAACCUUACCAAAUCUUGACAUCCUCUGACCCCUCUAGAGAUAGAGUUUUCCCCUUCGGGGGACAGAGUGACAGGUGGUGCAUGGUUGUCGUCAGCUCGUGCCGUGAGGUGUCGGCUUAAGUGCCAUAACGAGCGCAACCCUCGUGGUCAGUUACUAACAGGUAACGCUGAGGACUCUGGCCAGACUGCCAUCGUAAGAUGUGAGGAAGGUGGGGAUGACGUCAAAUCAGCACGGCCCUUACGUCCGGGGCUACACACGUGUUACAAUGGGAGGUACAGAAGGCAGCUACCCGGCGACGGGAUGCCAAUCCCCAAAACCUCUCUCAGUUCGGACUGGAGUCUGCAACCCGACUCCACGAAGCUGGAUUCGCUAGUAAUCGCGCAUCAGCCACGGCGCGGUGAAUACGUUCCCGGGCCUUGUACACACCGCCCGUCAAGCCAUGAAAGCCGGGGGUACCUGAAGUGCGUAACCGCAAGGAGCGCCCUAGGGUAAAACCGGUAAUUGGGGCU